rnacentral:rRNA from 1 species
UACGUAGGUGGCAAGCGUUGUCCGGAUUUAUUGGGCGUAAAGCGAGUGCAGGCGGUUCAAUAAGUCUGAUGUGAAAGCCUUCGGCUCAACCGGAGAAUUGCAUCAGAAACUGUUGAACUUGAGUGCAGAAGAGGAGAGUGGAACUCCAUGUGUAGCGGUGGAAUGCGUAGAUAUAUGGAAGAACACCAGUGGCGAAGGCGGCUCUCUGGUCUGCAACUGACGCUGAGGCUCGAAAGCAUGGGUAGCGAACAGGAUUAGAUACCCUGGUAGUCCAUGCCGUAAACGAUGAGUGCUAAGUGUUGGGAGGUUUCCGCCUCUCAGUGCUGCAGCUAACGCAUUAAGCACUCCGCCUGGGGAGUACGACCGCAAGGUUGAA